CCUCCGGCACGUGACCCGCGGCCCUCUGCGCUUAAACCGGCGACGACCGCCAGGCCGUGGUGGGGCCCAGCAGCGCGGGAGGCUCUUCCCCUUUCCCGGAGCGCUGGAUCCCUGGGCGGCUCACGGGCUGCAGCCGAGGUGCGGCGAGACCGACAGGGACGUGCUUAGCGCCGGUGGAGGCACAGCCAAUCCCACCCGCGGCUUCCCUGGCUUGUUCUGGGCCUGGCUCCAAUCCGUCUACGAAGGGUUUGCGCAGGGUCGGGUGCCCGUGUGGGACAGGGCUGCCCCUGGUCUGCGGAAUGCUCGUCCUUGCUCCGGAGAGGGCGUACUGACCCUGCCUCAGGGAGUUUAGUAAGGGAGAUGCGUGCUGUGAUCAACACCUGGAUGCUGUGAGCAUGUAACAAAGAAACCUAGUUUAGAUGGAAGACCCUGGAGCUUCCUCUGGAAGACCAUUGCUGCAGGAGUGGGGGACAGAGCCAUACUGCAGAGGGCUGAAUGGAGAAAUGAGAAAUGAAGGAACAAAGGCUGAGACUGCAUAUUCGCCCCUUUCAUGCUGCAUACUCAUACCAUCAAAGGAAAACAGACCCACCAGGAGGUGUCCAGUCCCUGCAUCACCACUCAGAUAACAAGGAGCUGCCGUCCUGUCAAAGAAUCUGCUCUCUCCUAGCACAGCCCAGAUUCUAUGUAAUUUCCAACCCAAUACUCCCAGUUUUAACCUUUGAACUACCAUUCACGGUCAAAAUAUUUUUGAGCUUCUACUUGUGUGUGCCACACCUUGUAGUGCGUGGGAUAUAACAAUCAAUAAAACAAGCAAAAAUUCCUGCUCUCGCAAAGCUUAAUAUUUAGUAAAUAGAAAAAUGAGUAAUAUUAUAUCAGAUAAGAAUAAGUUAUACAGAAAAAAAUAAAUCAGGGGACAGAGUGAUACUUGUAAAAUUUCAAAUGCUAUGUUAGCCAGCUUCCAAGAUGGCCCGCAGUGAUUUUCACCUCCAGAUGUACAUGUCCUCAUGUGGUUCCCUCCCAGAUUGAACAGGGCUGCUCUGUGUACCAGAAGGAUAUUACACAAAUGACAGGCCAUGUCUUCUGAGGGUAGGUUAUAAAAAAUAUUGUGGCAUCUGCCUUGCUUUUUCUUGGAUCGGUUGCUUUGAGGAAAGCCAGCUGCCAUGCUUCAAGGACCCUCAAGUUGCCUGUUGGAAGGCUGCUGCCUCCAAAGAACUGAGGGUCCCUCACAGAGUUGCAGUUAUGAUGUUGGCCAGGGCUAUCGUUAUCUAAAGUGUGACUGAAGACAAAGAGGAUCUACUUCUAACUUCACUCAUGUGGUUAUUAGCAGGAGGCCUCAAUUCCUUAUGUGGGCCUCUCCAUAGAUGCUGGAGAGUCCUUCAGACAUGGCAGCUGGCUUCUCCCAAAGCAAGGCAUCCAAGAGACAGCAAGGUAGAGCUACAAUGUCUUUUAUUAUAACCUCAGAAGUCACACACCACCACUUUUGCUAUAUUCUUAUUUGUUAGGAUCACUAAGUACAAUCUUUUAAGGGGAGAGGAAUUAGCUUUUGCCUUCUGAAAGGAGAGGUGUCAAAGAGUUUGUGAACAUAUUUUAAAAUCACAACACUCAAGGUUGAUUUUGUAACAUUACGCACUGGUCAUUUGGAAAAUAUUUGUUCAGAGUUUCAAGGGUCUUUUAAAUGUUGAUAAUUUCAUUAUACAUUUUCAAAAAAUCCUGUUACUGUAAUGGCUCCCACUAGGUAUCACUACACACCUAUUUGAAUGGCCAAAAUAAAGAAAUAGCGAUUAUACAAAAUGCUGGUAAGGAUGGGGAAAACUCAUACAUUACAGGUGCGAGUGUAAAACGGUACAGCCACUCCAUAAAAUAGUUUAAGUUUCUUACAAAAAUACAUGUGCAUUUAUCGUGCAACCCAGCAAUCACACUCUUAUGUUCAUGCAAAAACCUGUAUAUAAAUGUUCAUAGCAGCUUUAUUCACAACAGUCCAAAACUAGACACAAGUGUCUUUCAGUGGUGAAUGGUUGAACAAACUCUGGUACGUUUUACAAAUCUGGUACCCGGAUCUUUUAUAUUGUCAAUCAAGUCAUUGCUAAAAACUGAAUAAACUGGGGUUGAUGUGAAAGUUCUUAGUCUCUUGAAUCUAGUUUAACAAUAAUUGGCUAGUAGGAUUGCUCAGCAGCUAAUGUUAUCCAAAGUUACCACCACGUUGACUGUAUUCUUCCAGCUUAUUGGGGUGGUGGUGGGUGGAUUCGGGGGUGGUUGGGGAAACAGCAUUAAGUCCAAAAUCCUACUUGUUGUAUUUCCGUACUUUAAUAACACUGCUUAAUAGUUUAGAAAUUCAUGCAAGCUCAAGUGGUAAUAUAACUUUCAUAAUUCUAUUUGUACAACAUACUACCACAUGCCUUCUUCCCCCUUUUAAAAGUGGUAUUGGAGUGGCUCCCUGUGGAUUUCUAAUAGCUUCCCCAUUUUCCAUCAUUCCUCAUCGAUCAUGGGCAAUGUUCCUACAAUCUCAUCUGAAUAUUUCCCAAAAAUCUUGGAUAUUUUUCAUCCAAGCAAAAUUUUAAG